UCAGAGGGAAGCAACAUUGAAGACUUUUGAAGAUGGAGGAAAGGGAGCCAUGAACCAACGAAUGUGGGAGCCCCCAAAAGCCAGAAAAGGCAAGAAAAUGAGCUUUAUCUGAGAACCUCCAGAAAGAAACAACUCUGCUAACACCAGGAUUGAGCUUGGCAAGACCCAUGUCAAAUUUUUAAACCACAAAACUUGGAGGCUAAAGCACAAAGCAAUAAAUGAAGUCUUGAAAAGAAUUCAUCUCAUGAAUACAAAGAUAUCAUCACAUUCCUCUCAGAAUACAGAAUUGGGAAGAAAUGCAAGCCAACCAUCAGAGAG